rnacentral:rRNA from 1 species
UUUAAUUGAAGAGUUUGAUCAUGGCUCAGAUUGAACGCUGGCGGCAGGCCUAACACAUGCAAGUCGAACGGAAACAUGUCUAGCUUGCUAGAUGAUGUCGAGUGGCGGACGGGUGAGUAAUGCUUGGGAACUUGCCUUUGCGAGGGGGAUAACAGUUGGAAACGACUGCUAAUACCGCAUAAUGUC